AUGAAGGGAAAGGGAGGGGGGGGGGGAAGGGGACCCCCAGUCCCUGUCUACCCUCCUUAAACAGUUGGGUAGCCACCAGGAUAAACUCUGUAAUCUGAC